GUCUCCUGUCCACUAAGUCUGUCAGCGACUCCUCCAUGAGCCUUCCAGCUCCAUUCUCUCCAUCGUCGUUGAAUUUUGUCUCUCUUUACCGUCAUUUGAACCAAGAUUCAGGAGGGAGCUACGACUGGAUGGAUACCUGUGCUCAAUCGACCCUCAGCUCAGAAGUCAGAUGUUAGAGUUUUCCUUUAUGUUUGAAUCUAAAAUCCAAAUUCUCUUUUCUGCCUCUGACCACCUCACAGGCGGCUCAUAUGCAACCAACCACCCAGUCCCUCUCCCCCGCAGGCUCCAAGGGGGCUCAGAUGCCAUCUUUUUCAUAGACUGGACCCACUCGUGGGCACUCUUUUCUUGGGCAAGCUCCCAGGACAGCACGUGGAAGCUCUGGGGAGCCUGCCUGACUGCUGAGAGCACAAGCCUGGCCUCACCCACUGCGGGGCAGGGGAUCCCAUGGAGCAGAGAUGAGAAACCAAAGACCAGGCUGCUUGGUGUACUCUGAGGCCCAUCUUGCCUGGAGCUCCCUCAGAUCACGAGACAGAGGUUCUUCCUGCUACGGCCCCCACCCAGACUCCCGGGCAGGAAACCCGGCUCUGAGCCUCUCUCCUCCUCCCAGCAGCACUGGAGCCUGCCUCCUGUGCAGACGAAUGCCCAGCCCCCAGUAAGAAGCCAGCUGACACCCAGCCCCUCAUUUAAUGCCAAACGGGAUUUCCUGUCUUCUGGGGCAUUCGCUGAGCAGGCCAAGAUCAGCUUCACGGAAGGACUGGGGCUUUAUCCUUCGCCUAUCUGCGCACACUCCCUGGCUCCUUCUCCUCUGGCUCCCGGAGGAUCCGGUUUCUGUAUUCUUCCUCCUCCUGCCCCUUUGUCUGCCCCCAGACACAGGCUCGGCCACCUGGCUCCCAGCAUGACCAAAUUAUGGGCUCUGUGAUACAGCCAGCAGCUCCAAGGAGCAGAGGCCCUGGGAGCCACAGCUGGAACCAGCUGGAAUCUUGAAGGCUGACUCUGGCUCAAAGUUUCCACACUGAGCAAACCGCUUUGCAGAAAUCUCCCUUGUGCUGGCAGGAUGGCAAUGGGAGUUGUGACUUCCACCAACUAUGCUAAGGAUGACCCUGCCGAUCAGGCCGAAAUCAGGAAUCACUGGUACUAGCCUAACGCCCCCAGCAGCACUUUCUCUUUGCUAUUCUGGAAUUUUGCCUCGUGUCUUGGGUUCAUCAUCGGGGUGUGAAAAGUUCCUUCUGUGGGUUUGUGUGGAGGGGACACGGCAAAGAAAGGACAAUCUCUCUUCCUCUGCAAACAACUCUAAAAGUGACGGGAGAGAUCUGCGACGUGGCAGCUAAAAAAAAUAUGACCUGUCACAGUUCCCGAAACACAAGCUGCCAGCCAGCUCCAGCCUCCACUACGUAAUUCUGGCAGCAAAGUUCAGUGGGAGUCCUAGGCCCCGACCUCCAGAUCCCCCCCCCCCGUAGUUUAGGGGGCACCAGAUGAAUUAAUCAAGAGCUGGAAGGCAACCGUCAGAAAGAAAAAUGGCCAUGGGCCUGGAGUCUCCUUUUCCUGUUUUCAGUAUUACAGGUCCCACAGUUUAACAAGCUGUAAGGAAGUUUUGUAAAGCGGGAAACUAAGACCCAAUUAAAAUUAAAAUCCUCUAAAAAUGGCCACUGACUUCAGUCUAAAUUAA